AAACAUUGAUUUCGAUUUAAAGUACAUUACUUUUGACUAAUAUCUUUGGUCUGUAAAGGCACAUUCUCCUCUUGCAGAAACAGUCAUCGCCUCUUGAACACAUCUUACUCAUAGACUCCUCAAGAUACAUCUGGAAAAGAUGUUGCAGCCACAAAAGAGGUGAAGAAAGAGUUGGAAAAGAAAGAAUUAACUACAGAAAGUAGCUCUUCAACCAAGAGGCAACAAACCGAACCAGAAGCCCCUCCUAAGAAAAAAUAAAGGUCAGUAAACUCUGUCUCUACUUUUUCAUUCUUCGGCCAGUAAAGUCUGACAACUUUCAAUUCUUAACUCUCUUUAACAUAAAGAAAAAAUAACUCAAAGAUACUACAAGUAUAGAUAAAAGGGAACAUUGCAAUCCAUUAUAUAUUUAUUGAUGAAACUUUUGUCUGCAUACAUUCAUCCUCUUCUCUACAAAAGAGGAAGCUCCAAAGCUUUGGACCAACAGUUACUUGUACAUUUUCUGAUGGCCGCCAUGCUUGGGUGUCAAAGAUAAUGCAUUUAAUAGACAGCCCCUAUUUAAGAUACACUACCAUUACUGAUAUCCGUUUGUUUCAAAUAUUGCAGAAAACGAGGACGAUGCGCGUUUGUAUAACUUUUUGGCUUGUAAAUUUUUAUUUUGCUAGCCAGCAAUGCAUUUUAGUCCUCUAAUGUAUAUAUUGGCCGCCGGAAAAUGAACAAUAAAUCUG
rnacentral:lncRNA from 1 species